AUUGAACGCUGGCGGCAGGCCUAACACAUGCAAGUCGAGCGGAUGAAGGGAGCUUGCUCCUGGAUUCAGCGGCGGACGGGUGAGUAAUGCCUAGGAAUCUGCCUGGUAGUGGGGGAUAACGUCCGGAAACGGGCGCUAAUACCGCAUACGUCCUGAGGGAGAAAGUGGGGGAUCUUCGGACCUCACGCUAUCAGAUGAGCCUAGGUCGGAUUAGCUAGUUGGUGGGGUAAAGGCCUACCAAGGCGACGAUCCGUAACUGGUCUGAGAGGAUGAUCAGUCACACUGGAACUGAGACACGGUCCAGACUCCUACGGGAGGCAGCAGUGGGGAAUAUUGGACAGUGGGCGAAAGCCUGAUCCAGCCAUGCCGCGUGUGUGAAGACGGUCUUCGGAUCGUAAAGCACUUUAAGUUGGGAGGAAGGGCAGUAAGUUAAUACCUUGCUGUUUUGACGUUACCGACAGAAUAAGCACCGGCUAACUUCGUG
rnacentral:rRNA from 1 species